GCAUGUUCCACCACUGAGUCUAUUGAGGAGUUGAGUAGACUGAGUGGUGGAAUGAUGGCGAGUGGCGGACGGGUGAGUAAUACGUAGGAACUUGCCUUGGCGAGGGGGAUAACCCGGGGAAACUCGGGCUAAUACCGCAUAAAGUAGAGAUACCAAAGUGGGGGACCCUUCGGGGCCUCACGCGCUGAGAAAGGCCUACGUCGGAUUAGCUAGUUGGUUGGGUAAAGGCUGACCAAGGCUAUGAUCCGUAGCUGGUCUGAGAGGACGAUCAGCCACACUGGGACUGAGACACGGCCCAGACUCCUACGGGAGGCAGCAGUGGGGAAUUUUGGACAAUGGGGGCAACCCUGAUCCAGCAAUGCCGCGUGUGUGAAGAAGGCCUGCGGGUUGUAAAGCACUUUAGGUGGGGAGGAAGGCUCAAUUGUUAAUAGCGAUUGGGAUUGACGUUACCCACAGAAUAAGCACCGGCUAACUCUGUGCCAGCAGCCGCGGUAAUACAGAGGGUGCAAGCGUUAAUCGGAAUUACUGGGCGUAAAGCGCCUGUAGGUGGUUUUAUGAGUUUGAUGUGAAAGCCCUGG
rnacentral:rRNA from 1 species